CAGUGUGUCCGGCCAGCAGCCAGCCAGGCGGGAACUCGGCGGGAGAUAUCCCCUUACACAUGAGGCGAGCCGAGGCCAAACAAGAAGGAAGGAGCGGUGCACGGGCCCGCAUGGAGCACUUGUACUCAUUAUGGUUAAAGGUGAGGUGGAGCCUAUCCCAGCUGACUUAAGAACGAGAGGCUGGCUACAUCCUGGACUGGUCGACAGCCAAUCACAGGAUAAAUGGCUUUGGGGGCAUAGGAGGAGGAGCUGGAGCCCAUGUUUGACCUCCCUCUCCUCUUGCACGCCCGUGGCGAUGUUGACCUGGUCUGGCACGGACGGGCGAGUUGAGGAGGCGACCACGGGGAUGCCUUCCUGUCAGGCAAACAGUAUGAGAUAAAAAUGUUAUGAUGUAAGAUUAUUCCCAGAUUUACCGUAAGGUAAUUCCCAUUUGACAUCAAAAGCCAAGAACAUGUGCUUAUCUUUUUUUUUUUUUUCAUGCAACUAGAUGAAUUACUCUUGAAUCAAAUUAGUAAUCGUCAAGACUCACAAUGUGAGGCACGUCGCUUUCCCAGCCAAGAGUGUUGCUAACUUCCCCUGGGGGCGACGAUACCGCAGUCGACUCACUUUGGAGACAGGAGACGUAAUAGUAGAGCCGAAGGAGGCGAAGCGAGGGGAUGGAGAUGCGCUGUGCCGUGAGGGAGCCAAAGGGCUUUGGUGAACCAUCAAUAUAACUGGCUCUCCUGGUCGGUUGCCAGGGGAUUGUUACUAUGGUGAGAAAUAGGACAACCCCCUGUGAUCCUAUGUUGCGUUCUACACGCUGAGUGGAAACGCACAAAAAUAGAGCUUGGAUAAAAUGGUUCUGAGGGUGAAUUAUACCUGUGUUUGGCAGAUGAUUAAUACACAUCCAUUAGGAAAAUUAUUAAUUCAUGCACAUUGCGAAUUAUAUCAUACUUCUAAUGCGACUCUAUUGUGAACUGUUGUCUUCCUUUUUUUCAUUAAUGAGCAUCUGAGAAAUGCUUGCUAUUGUUGUUUUUUUUUUCCAACAUUUAAAACGGCAUUUUAAUGAGAACUAGUAUUAUUUUUGUGUGUGCUUGUCUCCUCAUCCCAAGGCCACUCAUGGGCUGACCUGCUUCUUGAGAGCAGGCCCACCAGAUGGUUUGGUCAGGUGAGUUGGGGCCAGGCAGGCACUUGAAGAAAUUUUAGAUUCGGGGUUUAUUUUGGGUGGCCUUUUGAAGCCAGUUGAUCAGGAGAGGAACGUGUGGCCUGAUAACCGCCAAUGCGAUCGAGUUGGAAUCACGUGGCUGGGGGAGUUGGUUUAGUGAAAGUAAUGAUGAAAAUCUUUCGUCUUGGACAUAAUCGAAGUAGCGACAAUAAAGUCACAGCGGUGCUUUGAGAUAUCAGUUUGUUCUGUGACAACGCUUGGAAUUCAAAACACACAAUUUGUAUUUCCCCAUUGAAAUUAAUGGAAUUUCCAUUAAUCCAUUCCAGCCUCCCCCAAAGAAUCAACAAACAAUUUUGUUUUUUAUUAGGGAACUAGCACUCUAUAAUGUUGUUGUCUUUAUAAACACCUAUAGUAUUAGCAUAAUUACUUCAAAUGACAACAAGCAAACAAUUUGUGUAUGAUGAUGAAUUCAUUGUUGUGCCUUCUGAUGUGGGAGACUUGGUACUGGGUAGGGGGUAAAAUACUGUUUAGCAGACACAAGUAACUAACUAAGUAUUACUACGGUAAGUGACAAGGCGGCACGGUGGAACAAAUGGUUAGGGUGUUGGCCUCACUAUUCUGAGGUCCGGGGUUCAAAUCUCGGCCCUGCCUGUUGGAAUUUGCAUGUUCUCCCAAUGACUGCGUGGGUUUUCUCUGGCAACGCCGGUUUCCUCCCACAUCCCAAAAACACGCAACAUUAAUUGGAAUUGCCCCUAGAUCGGAUUUUCAGUGCAAAUGGUUGUUUGUUUCUAUGUGCCCUGCGAUUGCCUGGUGACCAGUUCAGGGUGUACUCCACCUCCUGCCCAAUGAUAGCUGGGAUAGGCUUUAGCAUUCCCGUGACACUUGUGAGGAUAAGUGGCUCAGAAAAUGGAUGGAUGGAUGUGACUCAGGAGCUGUAUUAUUAGUUAUUUCUUGAGAAUGUUAAACAAUGUGGGACUUAGUGUAUUGUCAUAUUAUUUUUUUACCUGUUGUGUUCAAAUAUCUAUUGCUUGUAUCAUUAACACAUCCAUCCAUCCAUCUCCAUUUUCUGAGCCAAUUAUACUCACAAGGGUCACCUUCCUUCUGAGUGGUCUCCUUCCUGUCUCUCUGUUCACCUUGGUUGUAGUGGUCCAGUUUUCU